rnacentral:rRNA from 1 species
AGUUAGUUUUAUGGUCAAGCUACUAAGGGCGCACGGUGGAUGCCUUGGCAGAAACAGGCGAUGAAGGACGUGGUCAGCUGCGAUAAGCUCCGGGGAGCCGCAAACAGGCGUUAUAUCCGGAGAUCUCCGAAUGGGGAAACCCACGGCGGCAAAACCGCCGUACGGCUCACUGAAUACAUAGGUGAGUACGAGCGAACCCAGGGAAGUGAACCAUCUCAGUACCUGGAGGAAAAGAAAGAAAUCUCGAUUCCGAAAGUAGUGGCGAGCGAAAUCGGAACAGCCCAAACCCGUGGCAUUUCGGUGCAGCGGGGGUUGUAGGGUCCGCAACAGUAGAGUUACCAAUCCAGCCAUUAGUCGAAUCCUCUGGAAAGUGGAUCCAUAGAGCGUGACAGGCGCGUAGACGAAAAUGGACUGGACUCGAAGCGGAUACCUGAGUAAGGCGGGGCACGUGAAACCCUGCUUGAAUCUACGGGGACCAUCCCGAAAGGCUAAAUACUUGUUUCUGACCGAUAGUGAACCAGUACCGUGAGGGAAAGGUGAAAAGUACCCCUGCGAGGGGAGUGAAAAGUACCUGAAACCGUGUGCCUACAAGCAGUGGGAGGGCUAUGCUCCGCAAGGAGAAUGCCUGACCGCGUGCCUAUUGCAUAAUGAGCCG